rnacentral:rRNA from 1 species
GACGAACGCUGGCGGCGUGCCUAAUACAUGCAAGUAGAACGCUGAAGGAGGAGCUUGCUCUUCUGGAUGAGUUGCGAACGGGUGAGUAACGCGUAGGUAACCUGCCUGGUAGCGGGGGAUAACUAUUGGAAACGAUAGCUAAUACCGCAUAACAGUAGAUGUUGCAUGACAUUUACUUAAAAGGUGCAAUUGCAUCACUACCAGAUGGACCUGCGUUGUAUUAGCUAGUUGGUGGGGUAACGGCUCACCAAGGCGACGAUACAUAGCCGACCUGAGAGGGGGAUCGGCCACACUGGGACUGAGACACGGCCCAGACUCCUACGGGAGGCAGCAGUAGGGAAUCUUCGGCAAUGGACGGAAGUCUGACCGAGCAACGCCGCGGGAGUGAAGAAGGUUUUCGGAUCGUAAAGCUCUGUUGUAAGAGAAGAGCGAGUGUGAGAGUGGAAAGUUCACACUGUGACGGUAUCUUACCAGAAAGGGACGGCUAACUACGUG